rnacentral:rRNA from 1 species
AUCCGGGUUGCGGACAGUGUCUGGUGGGUAGUUUGACUGGGGCGGUCUCCUCCUAAAGAGUAACGGAGGAGCACGAAGGUUGGCUAAUCCUGGUCGGACAUCAGGAGGUUAGUGCAAUGGCAUAAGCCAGCUUGACUGCGAGCGUGACGGCGCGAGCAGGUGCGAAAGCAGGUCAUAGUGAUCCGGUGGUUCUGAAUGGAAGGGCCAUCGCUCAACGGAUAAAAGGUACUCCGGGGAUAACAGGCUGAUACCGCCCAAGAGUUCAUAUCGACGGCGGUGUUUGGCACCUCGAUGUCGGCUCAUCACAUCCUGGGGCUGAAGUAGGUCCCAAGGGUAUGGCUGUUCGCCAUUUAAAGUGGUACGCGAGCUGGGUUUAGAACGUCGUGAGACAGUUCGGUCCCUAUCUGCCGUGGGCGCUGGAGAACUGAGGGGGGCUGCUCCUAGUACGAGAGGACCGGAGUGGACGCAUCACUGGUGUUCGGGUUGUCAUGCCAAUGGCACUGCCCGGUAGCUAAAUGCGGAAGAGAUAAGUGCUGAAAGCAUCUAAGCACGAAACUUGCCCCGAGAUGAGUUCUCCCUGAG